AAUGAACGCUGGCGGCGUGCCUAACACAUGCAAGUCGAACGGUAAGACCCCUUCGGGGGUACACGAGUGGCGAACGGGUGAGUAACGCGUGGGUAACCUACCCAGAGGUGGGGGAUAGCCCCGGGAAACCGGGGGUAAUACCGCAUGAGUCGUAGGAGGCAUAAGUCUCUUACGGGAAAGGCGGGGAUCUUCGGACCUGUCGCCUCUGGAUGGGCCCGCGUCCGAUUAGCUUGUUGGUGAGGUAACGGCUCACCAAGGCUGCGAUCGGUAGCCGGCCUGAGAGGGUGAACGGCCACAUUGGGACUGAGACACGGCCCAGACUCCUACGGGAGGCAGCAGUGGGGAAUUUUGGGCAAUGGGGGAAACCCUGACCCAGCGACGCCGCGUGGAGGAUGACGGCCUUCGGGUUGUAAACUCCUGUCAGGUGGGAAGAAGAACCUGUCGGAUAAUACCCGGCAGGGAUUGACGGUACCACCAAAGGAAGCCCCGGCUAACUCCGUG
rnacentral:rRNA from 1 species